GGAGAGAUGGCUCAGCGGUUAAGAGUACUGGCUGUUCUUUUAGAGGUCCUGAGUUCAAUUCCCAGCAUCCACA
rnacentral:tRNA from 1 species